AUGGUCGGAGAUCGUAACUGGGCUGUGAGGAUUUACCCAAACGGUUACAAGGCACCUGGUUACGUAUCUGUAUAUCUGAUUCUUGAUUCGGCUGAUGCCAAGGACGUGAAGGCGAAAUUCACCUUUAGCUUACUUGACAAGGGUGGAGAACCAGUGCCUUCAUGCAUCAAAACUGUGACGGAACAUAUCUUCCCAAGCAAAGGUUACGGUUAUGGUUUCCCAGAGUUUAUCAAGCAGGAGGAUUUGGAGCGAUCGGCGCAUCUAAGAGGCGACAGUUUCAGAAUCAGGUGCGAUGUCGCCGUGGUGAAGAUGAUCCGCAGCCAAGAGACGCACGCAAACGAGUUCGUUGUGGUUCCUCCAAGCGACUUGCAUCAGCAGCUCGGUGGCCUCCUGAGAAGCAAUGAUGGAGCAGACGUGACCUUUCGAGUCGGUGGCGAUAUAUUCUCGGCUCAUAGGUCCGUGCUCGCCGCUCGCUCACCGGUCUUCAAGGCGGAGCUCUUUGGAGACAUGAGGGAGAAAGCCGGUGACCCUAUCGAAAUUGAUGAUAUAGAAGCUGAUGUGUUCAACUCCUUGCUCCAUUUCAUCUACACGGACUCACUCCCUGAGAGCACUAAUGAAGGUGCAACACAAGACGAUGUAGUGACAGCUAGCCAUCUACUAGUAGCGGCGGACAGGUACGGCAUCGAGAGGCUGAAACUGAUAUGCGAGGAGAAACUGUGCAAUAAUAUUGACUGCAACAUGGUUGCAACUAGUUUGGCUUUGGCCGAGCAGCACAGUUGCGAUGGGCUCAAGGAGGCUUGCUUUGAGUUCCUUGCCUCUCCGUCCAAUCUGGAGAUGGUGAUCACAAGUGAUGGUUACCAACAUCUGAAAAGCAGUUGCCCAUCUGUUCUCAAAGAGCUGAUUGCUAGACUGUUGCCUGCUGAGCUGACAGCAGCCAGGGAUAUUAUCAGGUCAAUGUAA
rnacentral:rRNA from 1 species